rnacentral:rRNA from 1 species
UACGAAGGGUGCAAGCGUUACUCGGAAUUACUGGGCGUAAAGGGUGCGUAGGUGGUCGUUUAAGUCCGUUGUGAAAUCCCUGGGCUCAACCUGGGAAUGGCAGUGGAUACUGGACGGCUAGAAUGCGGUAGAGGGUAGUGGAAUUCCUGGUGUAGCGGUGAAAUGCGCAGAUAUCAGGAGGAACACCGGUGGCGAAGGCGGGUCUCUGGGCCGUAACUGACGCUGAGGAGCGAAAGCGUGGGGAGCAAACAGG